rnacentral:rRNA from 1 species
AUUGAACGCUGGCGGCAGGCCUAACACAUGCAAGUCGAGCGAGCGGCGGACGGGUGAGUAAUGUAUGGGGACUGCCCGAUAGAGGGGGAUAACUACUGGAAACGGUGGCUAAUACCGCAUACUAUCGGAUAACCCAUAUGGGAUUAGCUAGUAGGUGGGGUAAAGGCUCACCUAGGCGACGAUCUCUAGCUGGUCUGAGAGGAUGAUCAGGCACACGGGGACUGAGAGACGGCCCAGACUGCUACGGAGGCAGCGGGGGGGAACAUGGCACAAGGGGGGAAACCCUGAUGCAGAAACGCCGGGUGCGGGAAGACGGCCUUCGGGUUGUAAACCGAUUUAAGCCAUGACGCGGUAGUGGCAGAAGAAGCACCGGCUAACUACGUGCCAGCAGCCGCGGUAAUAC